ACGGAGGGUGCGAGCGUUAAUCGGAAUUACUGGGCGUAAAGCGCGCGUAGGCGGCUAGGUCAGUCGGAUGUGAAAGCCCUGGGCUUAACCUGGGAACUGCAUUCGAUACUGCCUGGCUAGAGUAUGGUAGAGGGAAGCGGAAUUCCGGGUGUAGCGGUGAAAUGCGUAGAUAUCCGGAGGAACACCAGUGGCGAAGGCGGCUUCCUGGACCAAUACUGACGCUGAGGUGCGAAAGCGUGGGUAGCAAACAGG
rnacentral:rRNA from 1 species